GAUACUUUCUUCUCCCCUGCUCUUCUUUUGAGGAGGAGGAGUAAAAGAGUGUUUGUAGUGGAGUUUAGUUGUCCAGAGGGUAAAACUGCCACACAAAUGAGCCUCUUGAAUAGGUUAACAAGUCACUUGUAAUUCAUUUCAUUCUUAGAUUCAGUCUGCAGUCUGCAUGCAGUAAUUUCCAGCUGACAAGACUUUUUUUUAUUGCCAUCUCUUUGUAUUUCAGCUUUUAAUUAUUCCAUAAUGACAGUCUUUGUGAACAACAGUUUUUAAAGCGACAGAUGUAGUGACUUCUGCAUUUUCUGAUAUUAGCAUGCAAAUCAACAUAAAACAUAGCCAGCUUUUUAUAGUCAGCUUUUUUUUUUUUUUUUUUUUUUUUUUUUUGGCAUGUUCUAUAUUGCUUGACACCAGAAUACUUACUGCUUGGAAAGAUGGAGGGAAAAACACUGUGUUUCAUAGCACUAUACAUCAUAAAAGAGCUAUCUGUAAUGACCACAUCAUCAGAUAAUAAUUUUCAAAAUUCCCAUCAUACUUUACCAAACAUGUCCUCAGUUAAACUCCUCCAAACCUGUUUAUUUGAAUUGAAAACAGAGGAAACCUUAAGUGUAACACAAGAUGCUGAUCCUCCAGCUGACUGCCUAAGCUGCCUAUGGGACUCAUCUGGAAUACUAUUUUCAAGAGUAUUGUCAAGCUAAAUAUGCUACAACAAGAUCCAGUAUUGUCUCAGCCCUCUCCAGAUAUGCAAGGAGUUGUCUGCAAUUCAGUCCAUUUAUCUUCCAACACUGGCUCUUCUGCUGCAGUUUUUUACCUCUGUGCUCCAUUAAGAGUCUAUUAUGUGACAUUUAUCUACUCUUAUAUUCUUCAUUCUCCAAUUUUCUGAAAACUGCCAGAAUAUUCCCUGUUCUAUAAGAAAUCCAAGUGGCAUGAUUUAGAUGGGAGAUCUGCAAAAUGAAUGCAGCAUUGUUCUGUUCAUUGACAGAGUUGAUCAUUGAGCACUGUUCUACACCUUACCUGUUUCUCUGUUAGAAACCUAGAAUACUUGCUGUUGUUAGGUUUGGGACUCCCAGUUUCUUAGAUCUCCCCUUGCCCAACGGCAUUGCCAGGAGGAUGUGUUUGUUUUCUCCAGAUUCUCAAUGAAAAUUGUAACCACUGGGAUCAGUCAGAUUUGUGAUCAGUUUUGAUAAAUCCUGCUAUAAGAUACUGAUAUCAGAUUGAUAUAUCAGUUUCAGCAAACAGUUUUGCCAUUUUAAAUCUCAUGUUUUCAAAGUUUUUGUGGAGACCAAAACAAAUCGUUUCAUGAUUUAUAUGUCGCAGACACAUUUUCAUGCCAGUUUUUCCUCACUGUGUAGUUGUCGUUUCUCAGAUGAAUUUAACUUAACCCCUUGUACUCCUUCUUUGCUUGCACUGGUACUCUUCACCCUGCAUAAUCCAUAUUAAAUUUAGCAGCCAUUGUGCUCUGAAUUUCUGUUCUAAUACAGUUACCAAUGAUUUUAAGCUCCCUAGGCUUUUUUUUUCUUCUUUUUUUUUCUUUCUUUUUUUUUUUUUUAAUAUAUGCAGGACUGUAGGACAUGAUAUUAGAAGUUUUCAGACCUUGGCUCCUUGUCUUAUCUGCCUUUUAGCAGUAAAAUGUGUAAACCAUAUUAGAUUUAGAGAUCCAUCACACAUGCUGACAUAAGGAGAUGCUUAUGUUUCCUGUUCAUCACAAGCACU
rnacentral:lncRNA from 1 species